rnacentral:rRNA from 1 species
UACAGAGGGGGCAAGCGUUGUCCGGAAUUAUUGGGCGUAAAGGGCUCGUAGGCGGUUUGUCGCGUCGGGAGUGAAAACCUUGGGCUUAACUCAGGGCUUGCUUUCGAUACGGGCAGACUAGAGGUAUGCAGGGGAGAACGGAAUUCCUGGUGUAGCGGUGAAAUGCGCAGAUAUCAGGAGGAACACCGGUGGCGAAGGCGGUUCUCUGGGCAUGAUCUGACGCUGAGGAGCGAAAGUGUGGGGAGCGAACAGG